UUUGUUUCGUUUAAAGGAGGAUGCAAUUUUGCCCGUGAAUGCAUUUUCUCUAAAUGUGUUGGCUUUAUUCCUUCUUUGGUAAAGAAUAUCAACGGAUUUACUGAUAUGCAGGAGGAGACCGGUUGAUUCUCGUGGUCUUUUUCCUCUCAAAACAACCUAGUCCAGGAACAUCCAGUGUGUCAGAUCAAAUCCAAGCAACAAAGAAACCCCUGUGUCACGCCUUCUCUAACUCUCCUCUUUGGGGACGCUCUGGGACCGAACGGGGUCUUCAGGGAACGAACGCUCCCAGGGCAAGGCGGAGGCAGCCCGCGUCUUCGCGCCAGUGGAGUGAUGCCUCAGUCGGGUUGUAUUUGAAGAACCGCUGGGGCUACUGUGACAACGAAGGGCAAAGAAAAGAGAACAGAAGCAAAGAAAACCAUCUCAAAAGUCUUGCAUUUGCUGCUGUUAAAAGGCUGCUGUUCAUUUCUGAUUUCCUCAUCUUUUGCUACAAAGGAAAAAGAUAUUGAAUGAUGUGUCUCCAUUUGAUGAGAAGAAAACACUAACAACAGUGAAGGUGCAUUUGUUUUAUUUUCUUUUUCCCUGGAAGAAAUAUUUUUAAUAUCCAUCCAUUUAGCGAGUUGAAAGCUGUGGAGAUGUAAAAGAUGUUCGCUUGUCCACAUCUAUUCACCGGCUUUCGUCACUUGAAUUUUGUAGGCUUUUGUGUCAAAUAGAAAUUAUGGAAAAGAGAAUUAGACACUUGCCAAGGAGCAACAAUAUUAUACACUUUCAAGUAAAUUCCACUUAAUCCUGUAUUUGAGUACUGAGUUGGGGGGGAUACUAUUUUCCCCUAAUAAACCUCAAAGCCCUCAUUAGACA
rnacentral:lncRNA from 1 species